GACAAACAUCCUCUGCCAUACAUAGCUCC
rnacentral:piRNA from 1 species